UACCAUAUCAUCAUCAUAUCAUAUCAUACGAGGACUAAAGGAUCAUCCAAUACCCAUCCACAUCAUCAUCAUAUUAUGCAAUGCAACAUAUUCGUGAAUUCUAAUGCAAACAUCCUAAUAUAUCUCAUGGCAUUCGUGAUGCAUGAACAUGCUCAAAAACUGAUCUAUUUGCUUUGAAACAUAAAGAGUUAUUCUACUCACCUCAGGCUAGCUCUGAAA
rnacentral:lncRNA from 1 species